rnacentral:piRNA from 1 species
UGACACCCCUAAAUGCCUCAGCAAGUGG